rnacentral:rRNA from 1 species
GAUGAACGCUGGCGGCGUGCCUAAUACAUGCCAGUCGAGCGAACAGAUGAGGAGCUUGCUCCUCUGACGUUAGCGGCGGACGGGUGAGUAACACGUGGAUAACCUACCUAUAAGACUGGGAUAACUUCGGGAAACCGGAGCUAAUACCGGAUAAUAUAUUGAACCGCAUGGUUCAAUAGUGAAAGACGGUUUUGCUGUCACUUAUAGAUGGAUCCGCGCCGCAUUAGCUAGUUGGUAAGGUAACGGCUUACCAAGGCAACGAUGCGUAGCCGACCUGAGAGGGUGAUCGGCCACACUGGAACUGAGACACGGUCCAGACUCCUACGGGAGGCAGCAGUAGGGAAUCUUCCGCAAUGGGCGAAAGCCUGACGGAGCAACGCCGCGUGAGUGAUGAAGGUCAUCGGAUCGUAAAACUCUGUUAUUAGGGAAGAACAAAUGUGUAAGUAACUAUGCACGUCUUGACGGUACCUAAUCAGAAAGCCACGGCUAACUACGUG